rnacentral:tRNA from 3 species
GGGGACGUAGUUCAGUUUGGUUAGAACGUCAGAUUGUCGAUCUGAAGGUCGCGGGUUCGACCCCCGUCGUCCCCGCCA